rnacentral:rRNA from 2 species
GCUUGCUUUUCAAAACUUAGCGGCGGACGGGUGAUUAUCACGUGGGCAACCUGCCCUUGAGACGGGGAUAACUCCGGGAAACCGGAGCUAAUACCGGAUAACACAUAUCUUCGCAUGAGGAUAUGUUAGAAGGUGGCUUUUAGCUACCACUCAAGGAUGGGCCCGCGGCGCAUUAGCUAGUUGGUGAGGUAACGGCUCACCAAGGCGACGAUGCGUAUCCGACCUGAGAGGGUGAUCGGCCACACUGGGACUGAGACACGGCCCAGACUCCUACGGGAGGCAGCAGUAGGGAAUCUUCCGCAAUGGACGAAAGUCUGACGGAGCAACGCCGCGUGAGUGAUGAAGGUUUUCGGAUCGUAAAGCUCUGUUGUUAGGGAAGAACAAGUACCUGUUAAAUAAGCAGGUACCUUGACGGUACCUAACCAGAAAGCCACGGCUAACUACGUGCCAGCAGCCGCGGUAAUACGUAGGUGGCAAGCGUUGUCCGGAAUUAUUGGGCGUAAAGCGCGCGCAGGCGGUUCCUUAAGUCUGAUGUGAAAGCCCACGGCUCAACCGUGGAGGGUCUUUGGAAACUGGGGAACUUGAGUGCAGAAGAGGAGAGCGGAAUUCCACGUGUAGCGGUGAAAUGCGUAGAGAUGUGGAGGAACACCAGUGGCGAAGGCGGCUCUCUGGUCUGUAACUGACUCUGAGGCGCGAAAGCGUGGGGAGC